AGUGAACGCUGGCGGUAGGCCUAACACAUGCAAGUCGAACGGCAGCACAGUAAGAGCUUGCUCUUACGGGUGGCGAGUGGCGGACGGGUGAGGAAUACAUCGGAAUCUACUUUUUCGUGGGGGAUAACGUAGGGAAACUUACGCUAAUACCGCAUACGACCUACGGGUGAAAGCAGGGGAUCUUCGGACCUUGCGCGAUUGAAUGAGCCGAUGUCGGAUUAGCUAGUUGGCGGGGUAAAGGCCCACCAAGGUGACGAUCCGUAGCUGGUCUGAGAGGAUGAUCGGCCACACUGGAACUGAGACACGGUCCAGACUCCUACGGGAGGCAGCAGUGGGGAAUAUUGGACAAUGGGCGCAAGCCUGAUCCAGCCAUACCGCGUGGGUGAAGAAGGCCUUCGGGUUGUAAAGCCCUUUUGUUGGGAAAGAAAAGCAGCAGGUUAAUACCCCGCUGUUCUGACGGUACCCAAAGAAUAAGCACCGGCUAACUUCGUG
rnacentral:rRNA from 1 species